rnacentral:rRNA from 1 species
GGGAACGAGCGGGCAGGAUCCGGUUGAAUCCGAGAGGGGCGUGCGUUGGUGGGAAUUACUGGGCUUAAAGGGGGCGUGGGCGGCCAUUAAAGGCGGGCGGGAAGGCCCAGUGCGCGACCUGGGAGGUGCGUUGGGGAGUGGAGGGAUGGAGUUCGGGAGAGGAGCGUGGAAUUCCCAGUGUAGAGGUGAAAUUCGUAGAUAUUGGGAAGAACACCGGUGGCGAAGGCGGCGCUCUGGACCGAGACUGACGCUGAGGCGCGAAAGCGUGGGGAGCAAACAGGAUUAGAUACCCGGGUAGUC